rnacentral:rRNA from 1 species
UACAGAGGGUGCAAGCGUUUAAUCGGAUUUACUGGGCGUAAAGGGCGCGUAGGUGGUUGUUUAAGUGAGAUGUGAAAGCCCCGGGCUCAACCUGGGAACUGCAUCUUAUACUGGGCAACUGGAGUACAUGAGAGGGUAGUGGAAUUUCCGGUGUAGCGGUGAAAUGCGUAGAUAUCGGAAGGAACACCAGUGGCGAAGGCGGCUACCUGGCAUGAUACUGACACUGAGGCGCGAGAGCGUGGGGAGCAAACAGGG